rnacentral:lncRNA from 1 species
UUUUAUCUCUCUCUAAGAUUUUCUCUAUCUAAACUCAUAUCAGAUCUAAAAUUUGUUACGGAAGGAGGCGCGGUGAGGGAGGAGAAAAAAUGGGCUAGCAGUCGUUCGGCAAUGGGCGGAAGGCUCCGAAACUCUUCUUCCUCAUCUUCACGUUCGACAAGUGGGGGAUUUGGUUUGUUUUGGAUCUGGUGUGGAGGGUUGCUAUGGGUUCAUGGUGGCUGAUUCCUUGCCAAUUGCGGGAUGGGUUUAUAUGUUUGCUAAGCUUCUUUUUUUCUCAGAUUUUGACUUGAUUUCGCCGAAAUUUAGGUUUAUUUUUAUAUUUGUUUCGGUUGAUUAAUGUUUUAAUUUCCUAUCAACUGAUGCUUUUUUGUUUAUUGACUUGAUUUCGCCGAUUGACUUGAUUUUUAUAUUUCUCAGAUCUUGACUUGAUUUCGGUUGUUGGUGGUGUUGAUGUCCCUAGUGGUGAUAUUAGAUGGUGGUGGUGGUGGUGGACUGGGUGGUUCACAUGGUAAAUACAAUUAUUAAUAAAUAAAACUUAUUAAUAAAAUACAUAAUAAAUAGAUUAUCAAAUAUAUAUAAAAUAUUAUUUUUAUACACAUUAGAUGGUACAAUAGUAUUUUUUGUUUUAAUUAUUUGACACGUCAGUAAAAUAUGUCCAACUGUCAAUUCCGUUUGUCUAGUUGGCACAACUGUUAACGGCAGGGGCAUGAAUGACCCAAAAAUUGUAACGUUAAG